GACGAACCGAGCAAACGUUAUUCGGAAUCACUGGGCUUAAAGGGCGCGUAGGCGGGCCAUCAAGUCUGUGGUGAAAUCCUCCAGCUUAACUGGAGAACGGCCGCGGAUACUGGUGGUCUCGAGGAAGGUAGGGGCAUCUGGAACUGGUGGUGGAGCGGUGAAAUGCGUUGAUAUCAUCAGGAACUCCGGUGGCGAAGGCGGCAACCUGGCACGUUACUGACGCUCAUACACGACAGCAUGGGGAGCGAACGGG
rnacentral:rRNA from 1 species